GGAACAUUAGGAGACUUGUCUUGAACUGUGUUUUCACAGCAAACACCAACUAGGUUUCAUACAGAUUGAGCAGGACUGAUGCUGAUGGCUGAUGGAAAGAUAAAGCCCCUCAAAAUCAUCUCUUGGCACUGAGGGUAUAAAAACUACUAGAGCUAGUUCUCCAUUGCAGUUUUCUCUUCUGAAGCUGAACAGCAGCAAGGGCAAGGAAGCAGCUUCCUGGAAGAAUAUAUAAAAGAGAGAAAGCAAAUCUGAGAGCAAAGAAACCCAAUACGAUCCUGAAAAUGGGGCAUUUGCUUUAAAGACAGUGGAGGUGUGUCUGAGAGAGAAAACCAAGAAUCAAGGAAAAAACUAUACCCAGACUGUGGUCCAAUAAAAUAUCAUUGAACCAACCUGACCUUUUGAGCACUUCAAAUACUCAGGGAUGAAUUGGGUUGUGGGGUUGCAGGGCAAUAACAGAGAACUAAAAAUCAUUCCCUAACCCAGGAGUAAAGACUUUUUAAUUCUUGGAAAAUGGUGCAAAUUCUCAGGUGGAGAUACUCAUAAGGGUUUGAUUCAGUCAUUGAGUUAGUUUGAGGUAUUGGUAACAUUGUCAAUCUUGUCUAAUUCCCAGUAACAGACACAGACCUAAAAGUGUCCCCAGUGUCUUUCUCAUCGCUGUCCAUUUUUAGUACAGGCUUCUCACAUCAUUAGAGACUACUCUUGUCAAAGAGGAUAUUACAUUUCUAUGUAACUUAAAAAUCAUUACCUGUAAGGCAAAAUUAUCAGGGAAGUGUGGUUCUGUUGAUAGUAUUUAAUUAAAGCAAGUUAUGUUAGGUUUUGCUGUUAAUACAAAGUAUAGACACUGGAAUAAAUAGACACAGGUAAUGAAGUUUCAAGAUGUACUUUUGUGUGUGUGAUUGUAUGUAUAUGGUUUGCACAUUUAUCUAAUGGUGUGUAUAUAAGUAACUGCUUUUUCCGUUCAAAAAGUCUCCACUGGUUUAUCAAUCACAGAGUAAAAAAACGUAUUCUAACAAUGCAACUAAUUAUGGAAUAUGCAAAAAAAUUUGCAUUUCCUUACAAUACAUUGACCUUGAAAUUUAAACUUUGUAAAUAUAUUAUUUUAUGAAAAUAUUUAUUAUAAAUUUGCUCAAAAGAUUCAUACAACUGUGGGGAUUAAAAGAUUUAUAUUUCUUAAAUUUAAUAUGAACUAUAUUAUGUAAAAGAGUUUUAACAGAGGGUUGGCUUUUACCUGUUUCCCAAUCACAAUUAGUUUGUCUUUGUAGAAAAGAUGAGGUAGGGAUGAUCACUUUCUAAAGAGACAAGCAUUUAGAGUCCUCUUUAAUUCAUUAAAAGUGUUACUUAAGACAUUGUUAAAACAAGCAAACAAACCAGGAAGGACAGGGUUAUCUGUACAUCUUCUUUCCUAGAAGAUACAAGACUUUUGAGCGCUCAAAAAUAUCUCUUUGUGCUGCAUUUUGCAAUGCUGACUUAGAAUUAGUGAUUAUUUUCAAUUUCCAUGUGCUAUUUCAGUGUUAUGUUGUACCUUCCACCCACCCAACUCAGAAGCUGAUAUCUUAGGUGUAAGAAGGCAGCAAGGUUAAAUCUAUUAAAUAAAAACACAUUUAAUAUACAGAUACAUUUAUCUUAUUACACAUGUAACCAUUUUUAGUUUAAAAAUAUAGAAUAUUUUAGAGAUUCCAAGAGGAAAACAUGAUCAUUUUUUCCAUUUAUAGGUCACUAACAUGAUUAAAAAUAAUAAAAAAUUAUAAAUCAGUUUCUCCAAUUUAGAAACUUGAUUUGUCACAUUUCCCAUAGAAAAGUAAUACCCUACACAGCUCACUCACCUCUAGUCCCAGUGGAAAUAUCAGUUUUCCAGCAUAGCUGUGCAAUCUUCCAAGAAAAAUAAUAAGAGCCCCCCCAAAUCAUGUGUACACUUGGUUACAUGUAAGUUGUUCAUUUUGUAAUUUGCAUGAUUAGAUGGCUUAUAAAAAAAAGAGUUAACAUGCUUGUCAU